ACCAGUAGAUAUAACAGAUAAAUACUUAACAUUAUUAAUAUGAGCAAACUCUGUAUUAAAAAUGACCUAUAUAAUUCAUUCCAUUCCUCGGCUUCUUUGGCUGUGAUACUAAGUGAUGUUACAAGGGAGAGAGUGGCAGCGUCCACUAAAUGUCAUAAUAGAUUAGUGCUCAUUCUUUAAAAUCUUAUUAGUAUUUCAAACCUCUUUUCAUAGCCAAUUCCCUAUGCCUGGAAAGUUCUUUCCCUGUUUCCGUGCUGAGCUUAUCCAUAUGCAUCCUUUAAAAUUCAACUCAGAUGUUACUCCUCUGGGAGUCCAAAUGUAACAGUGAGGGUGGUUGCCCUGUCUCUGCGUUCCAGCAAUCUAUGCAUGUUUUUCUCAUAGCUGUAUCACAAUCAUUUCUGUAUCACUAUGGCCUAAGACUGUGCCUAUUCACAUCAUGUGCCCAAUAAACAUUUAUUAAAAUAUAUAAUACAUUAAUUGUGCCAGAUACCAUUUCUUGAGUGGUUAUCAUAAGAUAAAUACUGCACUAAGCACUUUAUGACCACAAAAUCACUUAAUCCUUAUAAUUGUCCCAUGAAAAAAUUGUUCUUAUUUUGAUCUCCAUUUUACAGAUAAGGAGAAUGAAAAUUAGAUAAAAAACAUACUCAAGUUCACCCAGUAGAAGAUGGCAGAGCCAGGAUUCAAACCACGCUAUGCUUCUGAAGAAUACUGGAGUUGUGCAAGCUGAACCAAGAUGCUAAGAUGGAAAGACCAAAUAAGGUGCUCCUUUCCCUAGAGUUCAGAAGGAAUUAGGUUGAUGAACAGAUGUUCUCAAAUUUGACUUUUUUUCUUCAACCCUUGGGCUCACUACUCUGUAAAUUAUAAUUUAAUAGAAGAGAAAAUGUAAUUUCAUGUGAAAUAUGAAUAUAGUUAACUUAAGCUUAA